UACGGGGGGGGCAAGCGUUGUUCGGAAUUAUUGGGCGUAAAGGGCUCGUAGGCGGUUUGUCACGUCGGGAGUGAAAACUCAGGGCUCAACCCUGAGCGUGCUUCCGAUACGGGCAGACUAGAGGUAUGCAGGGGAGAACGGAAUUCCUGGUGUAGCGGUGAAAUGCGCAGAUAUCAGGAGGAACACCGGUGGCGAAGGCGGUUCUCUGGGCAUGUCCUGACGCUGAGGAGCGAAAGUGUGGGGAGCGAACAGG
rnacentral:rRNA from 1 species